GAUGAACGCUAGCGGCAGGCUUAACAAAUGCAAGUCGAGGGGUAGAGGUUGCUUGCAACCUUGAGACCGGCGCACGGGUGCGUAACGCGUAUGCAACCUACCUUUUACAGAGGGAUAGCCCAGAGAAAUUUGGAUUAAUACCUCAUAGUAUAUAACCUACGAAUGUUGGGUAUAUUAAAGUUCCAACGGUAAAAGAUGGGCCGGCGUCCUAUUAGCUAGAUGGUAAGGUAACGGCUUACCAUGGCUACGAUAGGUAGGGGUCCUGAGAGGGAGAUCCCCCACACUGGAACUGAGACACGGACCAGACUCCUACGGGAGGCAGCAGUGAGGAAUAUUGGACAAUGGGCGCAAGCCUGAUCCAGCCAUGCCGCGUGCAGGAAGACGGUCCUAUGGAUUAUAAACUGCUUUUGUACGGGAAGAAACACUCCUACGUGUAGGAGCUUGACGGUACCGUAAGAAUAAGGAUCGGCUAACUCCGUGCCAGCCGCCGCGGUAACAC
rnacentral:rRNA from 1 species